rnacentral:rRNA from 1 species
AAGGAUCAUUACUGAGAGAGGGACCUCGCGUCCCCUGCGGGGUUUCGGCCCCGCACCUCUUCAACCCUUUGUGUACCAAUUCUGUUGCUUUGGCGAGUGCCGGGGCUUUCACCUCGGCCCUGACCUCGGUCAGCGAGCCCUCGUCAGAGGCCUAUUAAAAUUCUGGUUUCAGUGACGUCGGAGUGAAUCAUAAAUAAAUUAAAACUUUCAACAACGGAUCUCUUGGUUCUGGCAUCGAUGAAGAACGCAGCGAAAUGCGAUAAGUAAUGUGAAUUGCAGAAUUCAGUGAAUCAUCGAAUCUUUGAACGCACAUUGCGCCCCUUGGUAUUCCGAGGGGCAUGCCUGUUCGAGCGUCAUUGCAACCCUCAAGCUUUGCUUGGUAUUGGGCGUUCGCCGCUCCGCGAGGAGAAGACGUGCCCGAAAAUCAGUGGCGGUCCAGGAAGACUUCAAGCGCAGUAAAAUUUUCCGCUUUCGAGGUUCUGCCUGCGGCCCCGCCAACCAAACCCACGGGGCUCCGCCCCUAACUUUUCAAUGAUUGACCUCGGAUCAGGCAGGGAUACCCGCUGAACUUAA